CGCUCGACCCGCAGCGCCCCGAAUGAGCUUCUGUGGACUGUGACGCUGGCAGAGGGGUCCCGGGGGGAGCAAGCGGAGGAGGUGCCAGUGAACCGCAUCCUGCCCCACCCCAAGGUGAGAAGGCAGUCCCCAGGCCCCCAAGGCUGGGCACCGCACCCCCACCCGUGCUUCCUUGACCCUGCGCCGCCUCCCCCUCCUCAGUUUGACCCGCGGACCUUCCACAACGACCUGGCCCUGGUGCAGCUGUGGACGCCGGUGAGCCCGGGGGGAUCGGCGCGCCCCGUGUGCCUGCCCCAGGAGCCCCAGGAGCCCCCUGCCGGAACCGCCUGCGCCAUCGCGGGCUGGGGCGCCCUCUUCGAAGACGGGCCUGAGGCUGAAGCAGUGAGAGAGGCCCGUGUUCCCCUGCUCAGCACCGACACCUGCCGAAGAGCCCUGGGGCCCGGGCUGCGCCCCAGCACCAUGCUCUGCGCCGGGUACCUGGCGGGGGGCGUUGACUCGUGCCAGGUAUGAACCCAGUCUGAUGAGAAAAGGCCGGCUGAGCCUUCCCAGGGCCACUACGGCCUCUUUUCCUUCCACGUCUGUCUGUCACUCGACUUCUCUGAGCCUCUCUGUCCUCAUCCCUAAAAUGGACA
rnacentral:lncRNA from 1 species